rnacentral:rRNA from 1 species
CUGACCUACGGGACGCAGCAGUGGGGGAUAUUGCACAAUGGGGGGAACCCUGAUGCAGCGACGCCGCGUGGGUGAAGAAGCGCCUCGGCGCGUAAAGCCCUGUCAGCAGGGAAGAAAAUGACGGUACCUGAAGAAGAAGCCCCGGCUAACUACGUGCCAGCAGCCGCGGUAAUACGUAGGGGGCAAGGGUUAUCCGGAUUGAGUGGGGGUAAUGGGGGCGCAGACGGCGAUGAAAGGGAGGAGUGAAGGCGC